rnacentral:tRNA from 1 species
GCGUCUGUAGCCUAGUUGGUAAAGGCAGCACUCUAGUAUGUGUCUCAGCAUAGCUGAGGUCAUGAGUUCAACUCUCACCAGACACA